CAACAGACAACUGAGGUAACGUCCACUCUUCGAAGGUGUGUCGUCCACCACGUCAGGACCAAAGUCCAAGCUCUCCCCGUACCCUAAGGAGGCCAGAACUCGCCCCCAUGCCAGGCACAGAUCCCCCAGCCCGGAGCCGGCAGUGCAGCUCAGAGCCCUUCCGGUUUACAGCCGCGGAAAAACAACUCGGACCAGAUCCGGGAGGGGAAUGGGGGCUGGGUGGCCAAAAUUCAGUCCAGAGGAUCGAAGCGGCUGCUUUAACAGAAGUUGGGGCUGCGUAACAACAGCUCCAAGCAAAGCUUCAGGCUGAUCGGAAAGAUGAGGAAGCAGAAAAGAGACUAAAGACAGACGGACAGGAUGGCUGGGGACAACGACAGGGACCCAGUGAAAAUACGGGCAAUACCGAGGGCUGUAACCCUAACACGGGCAAAUUUGGAGGGGCUAACAUGGGCGGAAACCAUCCGUACCAGUCACCACCACUGUCUCCAGCUGUCCCAGAACCGGACUCUUCCUGCCAUCAAAAUGGCGGCGGCGACGGCAGCGGUGGUAGCACCUACGCUGGCGGUGAGCAGGCAAAGGAAGUUGCUUCCGAGCGCGUCGAAACGAUGAUGCGCACGCGCAAAGUAGGCCUACGUGGAGCCGACCUGCCAUUGGGGUUUUGAAGCGACUUAUUGGUCAUUUGGUCAAAUGUCCUUCAAUUGGGUUUUGCCUGUAUUUUUCUCAUGCAUUAACUGAGGUUAUGGGUUUUUCUUGAGUUAAGAGGAUCAGCUGCUUCCCCAAAAAGCCAAGGGUACUUUUAAUGGAAAAUGAUAUUAGAAAUCAAGAUUUGGACAUUUGGGAUGUUGUUGCUUCUAGACACUCUCAGCUGACAGAGCAAGGAAAUAUUUGUGGAUAUGCUAACCUGACUAAAUACGCAUAUCUGCUCCAUACCUACCUAACAUCUAUCUUCUCAAGAACUCUGCCAGGGAAGGAGUAGUUUCUGUGUUUCAUAAACAGACUGAGACUCAAAGAGGCUAAGUAAACUACCUGAAGCCAUAUAUAGCAACACACAAUGACGGAUGUGAGAUUCAAACUUGGAUUUAUCUGGCUCCAAAAUUUCUAGUUUUUUUUUUUUUUUUUUUCCCACUACAGCAAAACUAAGGAGAAGAGACAGAGGAAACACUAGAUCUGAAUAACAAAGGAUGCAUACUUAAGCAAACUAAGGCAUAUAUAGUUAUCACUAAAUGCUCAACCUGGAAAGAAUACUGGAUUGCAGUCUGCUUUUUCUGUAAAGACAAUAGUAUUAUAAAACCGAAAGAGACAACAGGGAAUAUUUCCCACUGAACCUGAUGGAAUAAACUGCUGUGAGAGGGAGUAUUGAAAGUACUUCUCCCCUGGACCUUGUUCCCAGGCUCCGUGUGAAGCUGAACACUCCGCAUGAUCUCCCUGCCACCAUAGCAAGCUAUGAAGUUCAUUACACAUGCAGGUAGCAGACAAUACAGCUCUGCUUCCAUUUCUGAGCACCUACGGUAGACUGCCAUUAUUCAGUGUGCCAGCCUGUUUCCAAGCCUACAAUGUAUAGUUCCUCUAGUACGUAAACUCAUUUUUUUUCUCAGAGAGCCAAGUAGAGACACAGGCAGUUUUCUUCUCAAAAUGUGCCAGAAAUUCCAAAACAAUCUCAAAGCAUUAAAGGCUAUGUGCACAAAGUA
rnacentral:lncRNA from 1 species